CUGUCCUAUCCAGCAACAACAAUAAUAACUACAGCAAUAAAACAACAAGGGCAACAAAAGGGAAUAAAUAAAUAUUUUUAAAAAUCUGAAAGAUUAGUGAUAAAGGACAAAAAGCCGAAAGGGGGAAAGUUAGGGGGAACUAGAUAAAGUAAAUGUUGCUUGUGGGAGCUGGGUAGUAGCGCAGUGCUUAAGCGUAAGCGCACGUGUCGCAAAGCACAAAGACCGGCGUAAGGACUGCGGUUGGAGCCCCAGCUCCCCACCUGCAGGAAGCAGGUCUGCAGGUGUCUAUCUCCCCCCCCCCCGCCACGUCUUCCCCUCCUCUCUCCAUUUCUCUCUGUCCUAUCCAACAACAAUGACAGCAACAAUAACAACGGUAAACAAGGGCAGCAAAAGGAAAAAAAUAGCCUUCAAGAGCAGUGAAUUUGGAGCGGAGGAACUAAGCCCUCGCAAUAACCUGGAGACAAAAACAAAACAACAAAAAAGUAAAUUAGUGGAAAGGAAACUAAGAGGUGAAACAGAGCCAGCAAGGGCAAGACGGAUCACCUGGGUAGUGCGCCUGCUUUGCCAUGCUCUUGACCCAGCCACCAAGUUGCAGAUGCUACCAUGACACCAACCUGACUUCCCUGGGAAGACGACCUCACCAAUGUGCCCUGGUACCUCACCUAUCCAGAGCCCUAUCCCCACUAGGGAAAGAUAGAAACAGGCUGGGGGGUGUGGAUCGACCUGCCAAUGUCCAUGUCCAGUGGUGAAGCAACUACAGAAGCCAGACCUUCCACCUUCUGUCCCCUAUAAAGGUCUUUGGUCCAUAAUCCCAGAGGAGUAAAGAAUAGGAAAUCUUCCAAUGGAGGGGAUGGGAUACGGAACCCUUGUGGUGGGAAUGGUGUGGAAUUGUAGCCCUCGUAUCCAACAGACUUGUUGAUCAUUACUGACUCAAUAAAAUUUAAAAAAAAGAGAGAGAGAGGGGGGGGGAGAAAGAUAAGAUACUUUUACCACUUGUGAAGCUUUACCCCCUGCAGGUGGGGACCAGGGGUUUGAACCUGGGUCUUUGUGCACUGUAAUGUGUGCACUUAGUGUGACAAAACCUGCCCCCCCUUUUUAAAAACUUUUUUAUUAUCUAUAUUUAUUGAAUAGAGACAGCCAGAAAUCAAGAGGGAAGAGGGUGAUAGGGAAAGAGACAGAGAGACACCUACAGCCCUGCUUCACAACUAGCAAAGCUUUCCCCCUGCAGGUGGGGACCGGGGGCUCAAACCCGAGUCCUUGAGCCCUGUAACGUGUGCGCUCAACCAGCUGCGCCACCACCUGGUCCCGUACCCCCUUUUUAAAAUUAUAUCACAGCACUACUCAGCUCUGGUUUAUGGUGGUGCUGAUGGUUGAAUUUGGUACCAUGGGUGCCUCAGGCAUGAAAGUCUUUUUGCAUAACCAGUGUGCUAUCUCCCCAGCCCCCUAAAUAAUUUUUUUAAUAUUUAUUUAUUUACAACAAGGGCAACAAAAGGGGAGAAAAUGGCCUCCAGGAGUGGUGGAUUCAUGGUGCAGCCACCAAGCCCAGCAAUAACCCUGGAGGGAAAAAAAAAAUUAUUUAUUCCCUUU